rnacentral:rRNA from 1 species
AACGAACGCUGGCGGCAUGCCUAACACAUGCAAGUCGAACGAAGCCUUCGGGCUUAGUGGCGCACGGGUGCGUAACACGUGGGAAUCUGCCCUUCGGUUCGGAAUAACAGUUAGAAAUGACUGCUAAUACCGGAUGAUGACGAAAGUCCAAAGAUUUAUCGCCGAAGGAUGAGCCCGCGUAGGAUUAGGUAGUUGGUAGGGUAAUGGCCUACCAAGCCGACGAUCCUUAGCUGGUCUGAGAGGAUGAUCAGCCACACUGGGACUGAGACACGGCCCAGACUCCUACGGGAGGCAGCAGUGGGGAAUAUUGGACAAUGGGCGAAAGCCUGAUCCAGCAAUGCCGCGUGAGUGAUGAAGGCCUUAGGGUUGUAAAGCUCUUUUACCAGGGAGUGAUAAUGACAGUACCUGGAGAAUAAGCUCCGGCUAACUCCGUGCCAGCAGCCGCGGUAAU